UACGUAGGCAGCAAGCGUUGUUCGGAGUUACUGGGCGUAAAGGGUGUGUAGGCGGUUUUUUAAGUUUGGGGUGAAAUCUCCCGGCUCAACUGGGAGGGUGCGCCGAAUACUGAGGGACUAGAGUACGGGAGAGGAAAGUGGAAUUCCUGGUGUAGCGGUGAAAUGCGUAGAUAUCAGGAGGAACACCGGUGGUGUAGACGGCUUUCUGGACCGUAACUGACGCUGAGACACGAAAGCGUGGGUAGCAAACAGG
rnacentral:rRNA from 1 species